rnacentral:lncRNA from 1 species
GUUCAUUUAUUUGAUUCCCAGCACACCUAUAGUAAUUACAAAACAAAAAUCCAUAUAUAUAACCAGGUUUUUCAUAGAUUCGAUAAACAUAAUUAUUGAGUACGGUUUAAUACAAUAUAUCAAUGUAAAAUUCAUGCUGCAAUCUGGACGCAAGCAGGCCAGUUGAAUACACGACCAAGACAUUGAGCUGGGUGCUAAGAACCUGCUGGGCAAUGACAAUAACAACCACCAAAAGAAGUUGGAUGCAAAGAGAGCCUAAGUUGUUGGCCAAACUCCCCAAUGAAUAGCAUGAUUCGAACUUGAACCUGGGGCUGUGCAGAAGUAGAAUGAGGAAAAUAGCAGCUCUGCCAACAAGAUGAGCUUGCUCGAAGCUGAUCAAUACAAUGAACCAGCCGAAAUUCACUCGUAACAAACCUUCUUUCAAGCAUGUGUUCUUUAAAACAUCCAAGAAAUCUAACUCCAGGUGACUGUUUGAACAAUGCAUAUAUCCUAACCAUAUUCAAAUCUUUCGAAGAGGAGAUGAAGGACUUAAAAUAUUUGAGGAUAUUGUUAAACGAGCUGGUUGAUCUACAACCUUUAAAAGACUCGAGGUUUAUCCAGGAAAAACUUAGAAUUCUCCCAAGAAAAACGCCUAAUCUGCUUGCCGAAUUUAGACCUCCAAUAAAUCAUGAAAUCUUGAAAAUCUUCAACUCCGACCACGGUAAAAUCUGGAGAAAGUGAGAAUGCAACCAAGCUUUAAAACAAGGUAGAUGAGGUGCCCGCCUAGAGUUCCUCAAAGCAGGCAGCUGAAACUUUAAUGGAAGAAAUCUGCCAUCAAACUUUGGAUGCUUCGUGACAUUAAAACAAGCAGGCUGCUAGCGAGGUGCCUGCCUGGAAUUUAAUAAAGCAAGCUGCUGAAACUUUAAUGGAAGAAAUCUGCCAUCAAACUUUGGAUGCUACGUGACAUUAAAACAAGCAGGCUGCUGGUGAGAUGCCUGGAAUUUAAUGAAGCAGGUUGCUGAACUUUAAAGAAUCGAAACAAGCAGCAAGCUAAAGAGGGAUGAACCUGCCACUAGUUUUGAAACAGAUCCUUCAAUUCUACAAAGCUGAAACCCAUGAAUCUGGACAGAUUUAAAACAAAAUCUGCAAAACUAUAUUUGAAAUUACCUAGUAAAGGUGAGAUCAAACAAGAAUCAAUGAGCUCACAAUUGCAAAAGGCAAAUGUGACAAUUGAGUUAUAUCAAGGUUGACUGCCAUUCAUAUAUUAGUCUAGAAUACAUGAGACAAAUCGAUAUAACUCUAAAUUAUAAACUAGUCAACGAUGCUGACUGAUACAAGCAGCAAAAACGGAUGAUUUUGUGUAUGAAAUCAGACCCUGAAGCUUUUAAAACUGCAGCAGAGUAGCUAGGUGUUGCAAUAUUGCAAUAAUAUAAAAAUAAUUUGCCGAUUGAAAGAGUACCAUGGCAUUUCCAACUCCCAAGUGCAGGCGACGCAUAAUGCAUAUUCUGUGAUGUAAUGCCAGGAUGAGCGAUCCCAGUAUCCAAAGAUGACUGGAUUUGCAGGUCAGAAUGUUUUUGUUGCUCAUCAACCUCACUAUCCGAAAAUCAUUAUUCUAUUAAUUAUUUAAACAUGUCAUUUUUCAGGUAUAGAACUAACCAGUAGAUCAUAAGCGGACAAUAGAUAAACAAGGAAAAUCCAAUGUCACAUAACAGCGUAAACGCUAUAAAGGAACUUUCAGAAAAUCACCUACAUGACUGAAUUAUCAGAAGUAAAUCAGUAAAAUUUUCUUCUAAACGUGAAGGGAAGGCAUUUAAUUUCUUUAUAAAAUACGACAAUAAAACAGAACUAUUUCACCAAACACUAUCCCUCCGAGGCAAUUUAUCAAACAAACAAUGUGCAGUUUCUAUUCAGUCCUUAUCUGCAUAGAACUUGACCAGAGCACUACCAACGUACACAUCCAUCUCAAAGCCUAAAUCUUUAAUCAAGCCAUGUAUAUAUGUCCCUAACUUAACAGAAAGCAAGCCUCCACAAGCCUUAAUUACAUAAGUAUACUUGUCGGGCCAAGUACCAAAAUCCAACAUCCUAAAAUAAAAUAAAAUUGCAAAACCAAAAUAACCCGCCAUGGUAAAACAUCUAAUCAUCCAAUUCCAAGGAGCAGCAUCGCAUAAAUUAAGCUGAUAAAACAAUUCCUUGGCAUCAAAAUACUUAUUACACAAAACGUACAUACCCAAAAUUCUUGUGCCCAGAAUGCCCACUUUCUGGAGUCCAUUUACUGUAAUCUGGGCGUGAAUCUGCUGCGCUUGAUGAAACAUAGAAGGAGAAAGAGAAGGGUCCUUUUGUAGAACCGGUGCAAUUUUGGAUGCUAAAACCUCCAAAGUGAACGGAGAAUGGAAAGGGUGUUUCGAUUGGGCUGUAUGGCUAAAAUUGGACUUGCAAUUAAAAGUAGUAAUAACUUGUGAAAAAAAUUCCUGGAACUGAAGGCAGAGAGAGAAGUGAGCGAGAGCUAAGGCGCCGAUGGUCGACGGUGGAAGGCGGAGAGAGACGAGUGUGAGAGUUGAGGCGGCGGGGAAACCGUGGCGAGGCAGAGUCGAUGGGGAAAAGGAAAUAAAAGUGUUGAC